rnacentral:rRNA from 1 species
AGUGGCGGACGGGUGAGUAACGCGUGAGAAUCUGCCUUGGGGUCGGGGACAACCACUGGAAACGGUGGCUAAUACCGGAUAAGCCGAUUGGUGAAAGAUUUAUUGCCCGAAGAGGAGCUCGCGUCUGAUUAGCUAGUUGGUGAGGUAAGAGCUCACCAAGGCAGCGAUCAGUAGCUGGUCUGAGAGGACGAUCAGCCACACUGGGACUGAGACACGGCCCAGACUCCUACGGGAGGCAGCAGUGGGGAAUUUUCCGCAAUGGGCGAAAGCCUGACGGAGCAAGACCGCGUGAGGGAGGAAGGCUCUUGGGUUGUAAACCUCUUUUCUCAGGGAAGAAGCUCUGACGGUACCUGAGGAAUCAGCCUCGGCUAACUCCGUGCCAGCAGCCGCGGUAAUACGGAGGAGGCAAGCGUUAUCCGGAAUUAUUGGGCGUAAAGCGUCCGCAGGUGGCGAUUCAGGUCUGCUGUCAAAGCACGGGGCUUAACUCCGUAAAGGCAGUGGAAACUGAAUAGCUAGAGUGCCGUAGGGGUAGAGGGAAUUCCCGGUGUAGCGGUGAAAUGCGUAGAGAUCGGGAAGAACAUCGGUGGCGAAAGCGCUCUACUGGACGGCAACUGACACUCAGGGACGAAAGCUAGGGGAGCGAAUGGGAUUAGAUACCCC